rnacentral:rRNA from 1 species
UCGAGGGGCAUCAGGAAGAAGCUUGCUUUCUUUGCUGGCGACCGGCGCACGGGUGAGUAACACGUAUCCAACCUGCCCUUUACUCGGGGAUAGCCUUUCGAAAGAAAGAUUAAUACCCGAUAGCAUAAUGAUUCCGCAUGGUUUCAUUAUUAAAGGAUUCCGGUAAAGGAUGGGGAUGCGUUCCAUUAGGUUGUUGGUGAGGUAACGGCUCACCAAGCCUUCGAUGGAUAGGGGUUCUGAGAGGAAGGUCCCCCACAUUGGAACUGAGACACGGUCCAAACUCCUACGGGAGGCAGCAGUGAGGAAUAUUGGUCAAUGGGCGUUAGCCUGAACCAGCCAAGUAGCGUGAAGGAUGAAGGCUCUAUGGGUCGUAAACUUCUUUUAUAUAAGAAUAAAGUGCAGUAUGUAUACUGUUUUGUAUGUAUUAUAUGAAUAAGGAUCGGCUAACUCCGUGCCAGCAGCCGCGGUAAUACGGAGGAUCCGAGCGUUAUCCGGAUUUAUUGGGUUUAAAGGGAGCGUAGGUGGACUGGUAAGUCAGUUGUGAAAGUUUGCGGCUCAACCGUAAAAUUGCAGUUGAUACUGUCAGUCUUGAGUACAGUAGAGGUGGGCGGAAUUCGUGGUGUAGCGGUGAAAUGCUUAGAUAUCACGAAGAACUCCGAUUGCGAANGCAGCUCACUGGACUGCAACUGACANUGAUGCU